GAAAUGCGAUAAGUAAUGUGAAUUGCAGAAUUCAGUGAAUCAUCGAAUCUUUGAACGCACAUUGCGCCCGCCAGUAUUCUGGCGGGCAUGCCUGUCCGAGCGUCAUUUCAACCAUCAAGCCCCCGGGCUUGUGUUGGGGACCUGCGGCUGCCCGCAGGCCCUGAAAACCAGUGGCGGGCUCGCUGUCACACCGAGCGUAGUAGCAAUCACCUCGCUCAGGGCGUGCUGCGGGUUCCGGCCGUUAAAUAGCCUUACAAAACCCAAGGUUGACCUCGGAUCAGGUAGGAAGACCCGCUGAACUUAAGC
rnacentral:misc_RNA from 1 species